CGCCCCAAGAAGAAUCCGACGAUCAGAAAGAAUUUUUCGGCUCCGACGAUCAAAGGUGGUCUCAAAGGUAAAUGUUUCUAUUUUAUUGUCCACUGUUCUUCUAAAAAUCAACUAAUGAGUGAAAAUUUUGCUGUCGUUUCAGAAUAUUCUGAUGAUUGAAUAUAAUAUUCUGAUGAUCAAUUCGAUGAACACCAAAGAAUGUGGCCCCCAGAUAAUAGAUCAGUAUAAAGUAUGUU
rnacentral:lncRNA from 1 species